GGCAUUGUUGGUUUCUCCCUUCUGACGAACCAUGAUGUCAUUUAUUUGGUGUUGUGGGGAAUCAGGACUGUUACUUUGAAAAAAUUAGAGUGUUUAAAGCAGGCUCACGCUUGAAUACAUUAGCAUGGAAUAAUGAAAUAGGACGUUUGAUUCUAUUUUGUUGGUUUCUAGGAUCGACGUAAUGAUUAAUAGGGAUAGUUGGGGGCAUUAGUAUUCAAUUGUCAGAGGUGAAAUUCUUGGAUUUAUUGAAGACUAACUACUGCGAAAGCAUUUGCCAAGGAUGUUUUCAUUAAUCAAGAACGAAAGUUAGGGGAUCGAAGACGAUCAGAUACCGUCGUAGUCUUAACCAUAAACUAUGCCGACUAGGGAUCGGAUGAUGUUAAUUUUUUAAUGACUCAUUCGGCGCCUUACG
rnacentral:rRNA from 1 species